UGCCGGGGAGCCAGGGGGCAUACCCCUGUAACUUUCCUCUCUUACCAUGAAGAGAAGCAGAGCCGUCUGCCACAGGGUUAGGCAACUUGUCCCUCAUCCCUUGUGGGGACCCCUCUCUGAGUAGCCUUCCUGUUAAGAAAACAAAAGAACAUGUGAGAUCACGGAGCUGCAGACUGCACCUUGGAGAUCACUGAAUCUUCUCUUCUCUUGGCCAGAGGAGGGGAUAGAAGAAAGCAGACAUGCCUGAGGCCACACAGCUGGCUGUCAUAGAAGUUACUUGGACAACACCACCCACCCCUGGGGGGUGGGGUGGUGGGAACUUGCUUGGUGAUGGCAACAAACAAACAAACACUUUCCCCUUCCCACUUCUCUUCCGGUAUUCCAGACAGGAGGAAUAAUGUACUGAUCUGCUGACAUUAAGAAGGACCCUAUUUUCAGAUUACUUCUUCAAAGGAGCAGCAUCUACAUUGGCAAGGUGAUUACAACCCAAGCACACAGCUGAUUUGGAAGACUUGAGUCCCAAAAGAUGACUUUUUUUUUUCCUCCUCCUCUGCAGGAUGCUUUAGCUUGAAACAUCUGGGUAACUGCUUAACACCUUCCUAUUUUGCAGAACAUUCCCAGCAUCGGGGCCGUUUGCAUCUUUCUGGGCUAGUA
rnacentral:lncRNA from 1 species